rnacentral:snoRNA from 1 species
AAGCAACACUCUGUGGCAGAUGAUCAACACUGUCUGACACAAUUUGAGCUUGCUACAGCAACAAAGUCUAACCUAUUCCGGUGCUCUCCUCUAUGAGACAAGCCGUUAUAUAGACUCAGACAGC